GUACUUGUGGUGUAGUGGUUAUCACAUCCGCCUAACACGCGGAAGGUCCCAGGUUCGAUCCCUGGCAGGCACA
rnacentral:tRNA from 1 species